AACCUGGUUGAUCCUGCCAGUAGUCAUAUGCUUGUCUUAAAGACUAAGCCAUGCAUGUCUAAGUCUAAGUAUUUCAAAAUCGAGACUGCGAAUGGCUCAUUAAAUCAGUUAUAGUUUACUUGAUUGCAUUCUUUACUACUUGGAUAACUGUAGUAACUCUAGAGCUAAUACAUGCGUUAAGAUCCGACUCUUAGGGGAAGGAUUGGCAUUAUCAGGUACAAGGCCGAUACGAUUCUUCACGGAGUCGUUUAUUGGUGAUUCUAGAUAAUUGUCCCGAAUCGUGAGAAAACUUUUCGUUCGACGAUCAAUCAAUCAAGUUUCUGCCCUAUCAACUAGAUGGUAGUGUAUUGGACUACCCAUGGUUAUUACGGGUAACGGGGAAUUAGGGUUCGAUUCCGGAGAGGGAGCCUGAGAAAUGGCUACCACUUCUAAGGAAGGCAGCAGGCGCGCAAAUUACCCAAUCUUAAUACAAGGAGGUAGUGACGAUAAAUAACGAUACGGGUCCUUCGGGAUUCGUAAUCGGAAUGAGAACAAAGUAAAUUUCUUAACGAGGAUCAAUUGGAGGGCAAGUCUGGUGCCAGCAGCCGCGGUAAUUCCAGCUCCAAUAGCGUAUAUUAAAGUUGUUGCAGUUAAAAAGCUCGUAGUCGAAUUCAAAGGCUAUUCGGUAUGUUUAAUUCAUCGGAAGAUGGGUUAGACUAUUGAAAAAGUCAAGUUAAACUCAGUCGAUCAAUUCCUGCUCUUAAUUGGGUGGGAUUGAUUCUGGGUCGGUUACCUUGAAAAAAUUGGAGUGUUCAAAGCAGAUUUAUUUAAUGUCAUUGUACAUAUUAGCAUGGGAUAACGGAACACGAUUGCUCAGUCGUAGUUCGGUCAUGACGGUGAAGUAAUGAUAGAUAGGGGUGGUAGAGGUGGUUGAUAUUCAGUGGCUAGAGGUGAAAUUCUUAGAUUCACUGAAGAUCUCCUGAAGCGAAAGCGUUCCACUAUGACAUCUCCGUUGAUCAAGAACGAAAGUUAGGGGAUCGAAGACGAUCAGAUACCGUCGUAGUCUUAACUAUAAACGAUGCGGACCAAGGAUUGAAGGACGUUCUUUAUAUGACUCCAUCAGAACUUUGUGGGAAAUCACUGAGUUUUUGCGUUCUGGGGGGAGUAUGGUCGCAAGGCUGAAACUUAAAGGAAUUGACGGAAAGAUCACCACCAGGAGUGGAACCUGCGGCUUAAUUUGACUCAACACGGGAAAACUCACUCGGUCAGGACAUAGUAAGGAUUGGCAGAUUGAUAGCUCUUUCUUAAUUUCUAUGGGUGGUGGUGCAUGGUCGUUCUUAGUUGGUGGAGUGAUUUGUCUGGUUAAUUCCGAUAACGAACGAGACCUCAACUUGUUAACUAAGUACUGGUGAUCUUCUAAUUGGGUGAAGUAAUUCGAAUUUCGGCUGAAGGGAAACUUUUGAUUGAGAUCGGGUUAUGGAUCCUUGAAGCUUUGCCGGUUUAUAAACUUCUUAAAAGGACUAUCAGCGUUUAGUUGAUGGAAGGGAGGCAAUAACAGGUCUGUGAUGCCCUUAGAUGUUCGAGGCUGCACGCGCGUUACACUGACAGAAGCAGCAAGUUUAAUAUACCUGAUUUGAAGGAAUUGGGAAAUCUUUUGAAACUCUGUCGUGACAGGGAUCGAUCAUUGUAAUUAUUGGUCGUGAACGAGGAAUUCCUAGUAAGUGCAAGUCACUAACUUGCGUUGAUUACGUCCCUGGUCUUUGUACACACCGCCCGUCGCUCCUACCGAUUGGAUGAUCCGGUGAAUUCACCAGAGAGUGGGGAAACAUCGGCUACUUUUGUGGUCGAUCUUCAUUCGAAGGUGCGUAAACCUUAUUAUCUAGAGGAAGGAGAAGUCGUAACAAGGUUUCCGUAGGUGAACCUGCAGAAGGAUCA
rnacentral:rRNA from 1 species